rnacentral:rRNA from 1 species
UACGGGGGGGGCAAGCGUUGUUCGGAAUUACUGGGCGUAAAGGGCUCGUAGGUGGCCAACUAAGUCAGACGUGAAAUCCCUCGGCUUAACCGGGGAACUGCGUCUGAUACUGGAUGGCUUGAGUUUGGGAGAGGGAGAUGGAAUUCCGCGUGUAGCAGUGAAAUGCGUAGAUAUGCGGAGGAACACCGAUGGCGAAGGCAAUCUCCUGGGCCUGCACUGACGCUCAUGCACGAAAGCGUGGGGAGCAAACAGG